AGUGGAUGGGGAGCAACCUAGUUGUGCGUGUGUAAAGGUAGUGCCAAGAAAAGCGAUGAUCAUGUUGAAAAUCAAUUCCCGGUACCCGAAACCGACACAGGUGGGCAAGUAGAGAAUACUAAGGGGCGCGAGGUAACUCUCUCCAAGGAACUCGGCAAAAUGACCCCGUAACUUAGGGAGAAGGGGUGCCACCGAGAGGUGGUCGCAGUGAAGAGGCCCAGGCGACUGUUUAGCAAAAACAUAGGUCUCUGCAAACUCGAAAGAGGAGGUAUAGGGGCUGACGCCUGCCCAGUGCCGGAAGGUUAAAGAAGUUGGUCAGUUUUAGGAUGAAGCUAGCGACUGAAGCCCCGGUGAACGGCCCGUAACUAUAACGGUCCUAAGGUAGCGAAAUUCCUUGUCGGGUAAGUUCCGACCCGCACGAAAGGCGUAACGAUCUGGGCGCUGUCUCGGAGAGAGGCUCGGCGAAAUAGGAUUGUCUGUGAAGAUACGGACUACCUGCAUUUGGACAGAAAGACCCUAUGAAGCUUUACUAUAGCUUGGAAUUGUGUUCGGGCUUCCUGUGCGCAGGAUAGGUGGGAGGCGUAGAAGGUAUUCUUGUGGGGAUACUGGAGCCAACGGUGAGAUACCACUCUCAGGAGGCUAGAAUUCUAACUUAAUUAAGGACAGUUUCAGGUGGGUAGUUUGACUGGGGCGGUCGCCUCCAAAAAGGUAACGGAGGCGUACAAAGGUUCCCUCAGACUGGUUGGAAAUCAGUCGAAGAGUGCAAAGGCAGAAGGGAGCUUGACUGCGAGAAGUACAGUUCGAGCAGGGUGGAAACACGGUCUUAGUGAUCCGACGGUGCUGUGUGGAAGGGCCGUUGCUCAACGGAUAAAAGUUACUCUAAGGAUAACAGGCUGAUCUCCCCCAAGAGUUCACAUCGACGGGGAGGUUUGGCACCUCGAUGUCGGCUCAUCGCAACCUGGGGCGGAAGUACGUCCCAAGGGUUGGGCUGUUCGCCCAUUAAAGCGGUACGUGAGCUGGGUUCAGAACGUCGUGAGACAGUUCGGUCCAUAUCCGAUGUAGGCGUGAGAAUAUUGAGAGGAGCCUUCCUAAGUACGAGAGGACCGGGAAGGGCGCACCGCUGGUGUACCUGUUAUGAUGCCAAUUGUAAACGCAGGGUAGCCAAGUGCGGAGAGGAUAACCGCUGAAAGCAUCUAAGUGGGAAGCCCACCUCAAGAUGAGUAUUCUGGUGUAAGGUCACGGGAAGACGACCCGUAAAUAGGCACGAGGUGGAAGUGCAGAGAUGUAUGAAGCCGAAGUGUACUAAUAGACCGUCGGCUUGACC
rnacentral:rRNA from 1 species